GGGGGCGUUUUUGGAUUCGACAGGGGUACCAUGAGCAGAUUAAGCGUGUCGGAGGGUUGUCUCCGUCACUAACACACACAGUUAUAAUAACUGGCAAAGAAAACAAUAAUUUCGCAGUAGCUGCGUAAUAGCACUCUGCAUCGCCUAACGGCAUCUCCUAUGUGCCGUUAACCGCGAUUCAACCUUUAAUAGGAUACGCUAGGCACUGCCGUUUGAAGUCUGCCUAGAAGAGAUUAAUCAAACUAGCAUAAUGAUGGCCGUCUAUCACUUACCAUUAUGUGAAACUCAAUGAUAGACUACACACGUAGAAAGAUCUGUAUCAGGACCUCUGGACGCGGGUUCGAAUCCCGCCGUCUCCAUCC
rfam:Staphylococcus sp. NAM3COL9 strain NA309 scaffold000014, whole genome shotgun sequence.